UGCAAGUCGAACGGUAGCACAGAGAGCUUGCUCUCGGGUGACGAGUGGCGGACGGGUGAGUAAUGUCUGGGAAACUGCCUGAUGGAGGGGGAUAACUACUGGAAACGGUAGCUAAUACCGCAUAACGUCGCAAGACCAAAGAGGGGGACCUUCGGGCCUCUUGCCAUCAGAUGUGCCCAGAUGGGAUUAGCUAGUAGGUGGGGUAACGGCUCACCUAGGCGACGAUCCCUAGCUGGUCUGAGAGGAUGACCAGCCACACUGGAACUGAGACACGGUCCAGACUCCUACGGGAGGCAGCAGUGGGGAAUAUUGCACAAUGGGCGCAAGCCUGAUGCAGCCAUGCCGCGUGUAUGAAGAAGGCCUUCGGGUUGUAAAGUACUUUCAGCGGGGAGGAAGGUGUUGAGGUUAAUAACCUCAGCAAUUGACGUUACCCGCAGAAGAAGCACCGGCUAACUCCGUGCCAGCAGCCGCGGUAAUACGGAGGGUGCAAGCGUUAAUCGGAAUUACUGGGCGUAAAGCGCACGCAGGCGGUCUGUCAAGUCGGAUGUGAAAUCCCCGGGCUCAACCUGGGAACUGCAUUCGAAACUGGCA
rnacentral:rRNA from 1 species